rnacentral:lncRNA from 1 species
GUGAUACCCAUCAAUCUCUGGGUGCUCUGCCAUUUUCCAGCUGACGAAAUGAGGCUCAGAGAGGUAAAGCGACUUAUCCAGAGUCACAUGGCUAGAAAAUGGUGGACUCUACACUCGCAGUAGCACUGAUCUGUCAAGAUCACCAUGCACUGCUAUUUAGAGAUCCAGGAUAAAAAAUCAUUUAAAUAGGGCCAGCCCGGCGGCACAGCGGUUGGGUGUUCGUGUUUCACUUCGGCAGCCCAGGGUUCGCCGGUUCGGAUCCCGGGUGUGGACAUGGCACCGCUUGGCAGGCCAUGCUGUGGUAGGCGUCCCACAUGUAAAGUGGAGGAGGCUGGGGGGGGCAGUGAGGCCGGUGGGGGGUGGGGGGGAGGUGAUCAUCCCAGCUGCUCCAGGCAGCAGCAGCGGGUGGCCAGAACAGCUAUUCCUAAUUCAACACUUACUCUGUGCCAAGUGCUACACUAAGCAUUUUGACAUAUCUCCUUUGAUCCUCACCGGAUCCCAAGAGGAAGGUAAUGUUGUUAUGGCCAUUUUAUAGAUGGGCAAUCUAAAGCUAAGAGCAGGUAGAAGUCACAAGCUGUCUGCCGGGAGCUAGGACUAAUCACAGGCUCAGAAGCAUUUGUGAAAUUGCUCUGCUCCCAGCCAACAAGGAGCGAGGUGCAGGGGCGACAACAUCACCUCCGAGCUGGAAUUCUGGAAGAUGGUCUGUGAAUCCCUUGUCUUUCUCCACAGCCUGUUGGGAAUGCCUGUGAUUUCAUUCAUGGUCUGAAGCCAAAGCCUUUGCAAGGCAGCAGAGCAUAGAAAUUAGGGGCCCAGGAUGGAGUUCAAAUCCCAGCUGUCGCUUCCAAGGUGUGUGACCUCAAGUAAGUCACUAAACCUUUCUGAGCCUCAGUUUUCCUAUCUAUAAAAUAGGAUAGUAAGGAACAGGGUUGGGAGGCUGGCCCGGUGGCGCAGUGGUUAAGAGCACAUGUUCCUCUUCGGCGGCCCAGGGUUCACCGGUUCGGAUCCUGGGUGCGGACAUGGCACCGCGUGGCAAGCCAUGCUGUGGUAGGCGUCCUACGUAUCAAGCAGAGGAAGAUGGGCACAGAUGUUAGCUCAAGGCCAGUCUUCCUCGGAAAAAAGAGGAGGAUUGGCAGAUGUUAGCUCAGGGCUAAUCUUCC